AUACCUUAGGGGACCUCCGAUAAAAUUGGAAUGAUAAAAAGAAGAUUAACAUGGCCCCUGCGCAAGGAUGACACACAUAAAUCGAGAAAUAGUCCAACAAAAUUUUU